CACCAGGUGUCUGAAAGCAAGUCGUGGUCUCUUAAAUCACUCAUAGUAAUCUCGCAAUUACUCCUGGUGA
rnacentral:tRNA from 1 species